rnacentral:rRNA from 1 species
AUGCAUAUUGAAAAUGACGGGGAAUUGGCCACUGAGAUUGUCGAUUGUCAAGAUAUUCGGCCAGCACGCGCCAUCACCCGUAUGGACUCCAAGUACAGAUUUUCUCCUCCUUCUCAUGUUGAGGUCCACCAUGAAGGUAGCUGGUGGCCUGGUCUUAUUGUUAAGGUUUUAGGUAGUGGAAUCAACAAGAAGUAUGUGGUGAAAUUGAAGAAUCACAAGACAGACAUGGAGGACGAACCUGUAGAUAUUUUGACGGUUGAAAAUACGCAACUAAGGUCACGAUUUGACUGGGACGGUAAAAAAUGGGUACGCUUCGUGAAAGAGGAAUCUUCUAAUGAACCUCGAUUAACUUCUCGAAAAAGGCUAGUUUCUGCCUUAUAUGAUGACUCUGAUAAAACCGGUAAUGAAGCUGAUUCUCGUCGUGACAAAAAGUUGAAGAAUAAAGAUGUGAUAUCAGGAGAAAUUUCUCCUCUUCCUUUGUCCACUUGCAAUGAGAACAAUGAAAUUACUUAUAAUCAAGGAAAUGCAGUAUUGGCAUUACGGUCUGAGCUAUCACUUCCUUCACUGCCACCAAUGGCAGCAUUUAACCAGCUGAGUUCAUCUUCACUUGCUCCAAGCUGUCAUCUGGAACAAUCAUCUUCUCAGAUGAUUAUCAUACCAUCUACGCCAGAAAGUCGGCAGUUGCGGGCUUUGUUGUUUGGAGCAUUUGGACAACCAACAGCUGACCCACAGGACCGACUAUUAGGUUCACAAGAGGGUAGUGGAAUAGAUGAUCUUCAGCAAGGAGGCUAUGUUGGUGAAACUAGUGUUGGGCAGGACACUGGUGGAGAAUUAUGUCAGGGGUAUUUGGUUAUGGCUGAUAAUGCCAAUGUUCCUCUGUUGCCUUCAGCAGAGAGUUGUGAAGCUAAUUCGCACGACAACCGGCUCUCCAAGGACAACACGGCAGCUGAGGUGGAGUGUGUUACUUGUUAUGCUGCUCCAGCCGAGGACUUGUCUCUCAUACCUGUAGCUACUUUAGAUGGUGUUGUACCUAAUCUGUUGCCAUUAGAGUGGGAUUUGGAGGUCAAUAUAACUGAAGAUAUGGAUGAGGAGAACCGUCAAGGGAAUGUGGUUGGGUUAGCCAGCAAUGGGAAUCAAAGUCAGAAUGGUGUGGAGGGCACACGAGUCUCCAGGUAUGUUGCAAGCAGAACAAGUGAUUCUGUCUUACAAUUGUCGCCGGAAUCUGUAGCUAUGCAUGAGAGUACCGUGGGAUCCUUGGCAGUCCAGCAGCGUCUUCCAUUUGUGAAGACCUCUCCAGUAUGGGCACAUCUUGAGGCACUGGAAAUAUUCAGGAAAGCGCCACAGCGGCCACAUUUUCGUCGGUUCGAGCAGUAUUGUCCAGAGCUCCGCGAAGGUAAGGCAUUAGGUUUGAUGCACUCUUUUGCCAAUUUAGCAGAAAGCAUAAACAUGCUGGAUGUUCAGGGUGACAAAGAACUACUUGAACAGAAGAUGAAAAGCCUUGCUUUGCUCGAGGAGAAUGGUUUCGACGUCACGUACCUGAGAUCGCGCGUGGAAGCUUUAAUCGCCACAGAUAAUAAUAGUUGCGUCGAAGAGCUGGAGGAGAAGAUUGCUCGCAUAGAAACCUACGACCAGGAACUCGGCACGCGAGUUCGCGCUCUGGCUAUGACCGUCCAUCGUCUCGAACUGCAUGCGUAUCUCAUGCGCAACAUGGUGCGGUCUGCGAUCGCGCGGAAGAUGAGCAAUGCUGUGAAGAUCGCAAGACUCAAGGCAGAAGCGAACGAUCUUGAGAGAUCGUAUCUUUCC